AUGAAAUAAAUGUCGAAAAGGGUUGUAGCUGGCCUCUUGAGGCAUGUGCACACCUUUAUCGCGCAUCUACAUCUCACACCUGUGCACAACCUGUAGCUUGGGAUGAUUACAAUACUGGAAACGGUAUUGAAAGCCCUCGCUAUGAAUUUUUAUACAACCCUAUUAAAAGUUAAAGAAUGUUUAAUGUUAUAGCGUGUAACAGCGCGAAUAAAUAUACAACUUUCAGCAACGGAUCUCUUGGCUCUCGCAUCGAUGAAGAACGCAGCGAAAUGCGAUAAGUAAUGUGAAUUGCAGAAUUCAGUGAAUCAUCGAAUCUUUGAACGCACCUUGCGCUCCUUGGUAUUCUGAGGAGCAUGCCUGUUUGAGUGUCAUGAAAUUCUCAACUGCUUUAGCUUUUGUGGUUGAAGUAAAGUUGGAUUUGGAGGAAUAAUUGCUGGCGUAACCUUUUAAGGUUGCUUGUUAGCUCCUCUUAAAUGGAUGAACUUUCCAGUAGUGUAAAAGUAACACCAAUGUGAUAAUUAUCUACGUUGGAUGAACUUGUACAAGGAAAGAUGAAUCUGUCUUGGACCCCCUUGACGAAACAAAUGACAAAUUUGACCUCAAA
rnacentral:sRNA from 1 species